UCUCUCUGUACCCCGACAUCCCUGGUCUCUCUGUACCCAGACAUCCCUGGUCUCUCUGUACCCAGACAUCCCUGGUCUCUCUGUACCCAGACAUCCCUGGUCUCUCUGUACCCAGACAUCCCUGGUUUCUCUGUACCCGGGCAUCCCUGGUUUCUCUGUACCCGGACAUCCCUUGUCUCUCUGUACCCGGGCAUCCCUGGUCUCUCUGGUAUGUAUUUGUAUGACAAUAACACCUUCCUGAGAGUUAUGUUGCCACAUCCCCAAAUAAAAUCAAAAUGACGUCUU